rnacentral:rRNA from 1 species
GACGAACGCUGGCGGCGUGCUUAACACAUGCAAGUCGGACGGUAAGGCCCUUCGGGGUACACGAGUGGCGAACGGGUGAGUAACACGUGGGUGAUCUGCCCUGCACUUCGGGAUAAGCCUGGGAAACUGGGUCUAAUACCGGAUAGGACCACUGCCUGCAUGGGUGGUGGUGGGAAGCUUUUGCGGUGUGGGAUGGGCCCGCGGCCUAUCAGCUUGUUGGUGGGGUGAUGGCCUACCAAGGCGACGACGGGUAGCCGGCCUGAGAGGGUGACCGGCCACACUGGGACUGAGAUACGGCCCAGACUCCUACGGGAGGCAGCAGUGGGGAAUAUUGCACAAUGGGCGCAAGCCUGAUGCAGCGACGCCGCGUGAGGGAUGACGGCCUUCGGGUUGUAAACCUCUUUCAGCACCGACGAAGCGCAAGUGACGGUAGGUGCAGAAGAAGGACCGGCCAACUACGUGCCAGCCGCCGCAGUAA